GUCAGGAUUGCCGAGCGGUCCAAGGCGCUGCGUUCAGGUCGCAGUCCAGUCAUCUGGGCGAGGGUUCGAAUCCCUCUUCUGACA
rnacentral:tRNA from 1 species